rnacentral:tRNA from 1 species
GGGCCGGUAGAUCAGCUGGAAGAUCGCCAUCUUGGCAUGGUGGAGGCCGCGGGUUCAAAUCCCGCCCGGUCCA